GAGGGUAUAGCUCAGAAGUAGAGCAUAUGCUUAGUAGGCAUGAGGUCCUGGGUUCAAUCUCUAGUACCUUCA
rnacentral:tRNA from 1 species